rnacentral:rRNA from 1 species
GACGAACGCUGGCGGCGUGCUUAACACAUGCAAGUCGAACGGAAAGGCCCUGCUUUUGUGGGGUGCUCGAGUGGCGAACGGGUGAGUAACACGUGAGUAACCUGCCCUUGACUUUGGGAUAACUUCAGGAAACUGGGGCUAAUACCGGAUAGGAGCUCCUGCUGCGUGGUGGGGGUUGGAAAGAUUCGGCGGUUGGGGAUGGAAUCGCGGCUUAUCAGCUUGUUGGUGGGGUAGUGGCUUACCAAGGCUUUGACGGGUAGCCGGCCUGAGAGGGUGACCGGCCACAUUGGGACUGAGAUACGGCCCAGACUCCUACGGGCGGCAGCAGUGGGGAAUCUUGCACAAUGGGCGGAAGCCUGAUGCAGAAACGCCGCGUGCGGGAUGACGGCCUUCGGGUUGUAAACCGCUUUCGCCUGUGACGAAGCGUGAGUGACGGUAAUGGGUAAAGAAGCACCGGCUAACUACGUG